CCUACGGGGGGCAGCAGUGGGGAAUAUUGCACAAUGGGGGAAACCCUGAUGCAGCGACGCCGCGUGAGUGAAGAAGUAUUUCGGUAUGUAAAGCUCUGUCAGCAGGGAAGAAAAUGACGGUACCUGACCAAGAAGCCCCGGCUAACUACGGGCCAGCAGCCGCGGUAAUACGUAGGGGGCAAGCGUUAACCGGAUUUACUGGGGGGAAAGGGAGCGUAGACGGCAGGGCAAGUCUGGAGUGAAAGGCGGGGGCUCCACCCCCGGACUGCUCUUGAAACUGCCAGGCUGGAGUGCAGGAGAGUUAAGUGGACUUCCUAGUGUAGCGGUGAAAUGCGUAGAUAUUAGGAG
rnacentral:rRNA from 1 species